UACGUAGGUGGCAAGCGUUGUCCGGAUUUACUAGGCGUAAAGAGCGCGCAGGCGGUCGGAUUAGUCGCGUGUGAAAGCCCCCGGCUCAACUGGGGAGGGUCACGCGAUACUGUUCGACUCGAAGGCAGGAGAGGGAAGUGGAAUUCCCGGUGUAGUGGUGAAAUGCGUAGAUAUCAGGAGGAACACCGAUGGCGAAGGCAGCUCGCUGGGACGGUACUGACGCUGAGACGCGAAAGCGUGGGGAGCAAACAGG
rnacentral:rRNA from 1 species